rnacentral:misc_RNA from 1 species
GAAUGAUAUGCCAGCUGUUUCAUUUUGCGUGGCACUUCACAUGGCACAGAUCAAACGCAGCCGUAAAUUUAUCAUGUUUGACUACGGUAGUGCAGCUACAAACAUGGAAGUCUAUGGAUCCUCACAGCCCUUGGAUUUGGGGGAGUACUAUCUCUUCAUUGAUAUUCCAGUUGACCUUGUUGCUGGGCAGAAAGACAACGUCAUCAGGCCGUCCAUGGUUAGGAAGCAUUAUGACCUGAUGACUGAUGCAGGUGUAGAUGUAUCAUAUAAGGAGUUUGAGUAUGCGCAUUUGGAUUUUACGUUUUCUCAUCGGGAAGAACUACUUGCAUAUGUAAUGUCCCGGUUAAUGUUAGUAGGGUGUUCGUCAAAGAAACUAGCUGGGCAGAAAUCAUUGAGGAAUCAGAAAAACGAGGUACAAUCGAGCAGCCAUUGAAGCGUAAUGCUCCAUAAGCCUAGGGAAAUUUUAC